GACAGAGGUGCCGAGCGUUAGGCGGAAUCACUGGGCUUAAAGCGUGUGUAGGCGGGCCGCAUAGUGCCUUGUGAAAUCCCCCGGCUCAACCGGGGAACUGCUUGGUAUACUGGCGGUCUUGAGCCACUUAGGGGCUACCGGAACAAAUGGUGGAGCGGUGAAAUGCGUAGAUAUCAUUUGGAACGCCAAUGGUGAAAACAGGUAGCUGGGAGUGUGCUGACGCUGAGACACGAAAGCCAGGGGAGCAAACAGG
rnacentral:rRNA from 1 species